rnacentral:rRNA from 1 species
AUUGAACGCUGGCGGCAGGCCUAACACAUGCAAGUCUCACGAGUGGCGGACGGGUGAGUAAUGUCUGGGAAACUGCCUGAUGGAGGGGGAUAACUACUGGACACGGUAGCUAAUACAGCAUACCAUCGGAUGUGCCCAGAUGGGAUUAGCUUGUUGGUGGGGUAACGGCUCACCAAGGCGACGAUCCCUAGCUGGUCUGAGAGGAUGACCGUCCACACUGGAACGUAGACAAGGUACAGACUCCGACGGGAGGAAGCAGUGGGGAAUAUUGGACAAGGGGCGCAAGUCUGAUGCAGCCACGCCGCGUGUAGGAAUAAGGCCUUCGGGUUGGAAAGUACUUUCAGCGGGGAGGCGUUACCCGCAGAAGAAGCACCGGCUAACUCCGUGCCAGCAGCCGCGGUAAUUC